UACAGAGGGUGCGAGCGUUAAUCGGAAUUACUGGGCGUAAAGCGCGCGUAGACGGUUUUGUAAGUCAGAUGUGAAAUCCCUGGGCUCAACCUGGGAACUGCAUUGGUGACUGGCAGGCUAGAGUAUGGCAGAGGGGGGGUAGAAUUCCACGUGUAGCAGUGAAAUGCGUAGAGAUGUGGAGGAAUACCGAUGGCGAAGGCAGCCCCCUGGGCCAAUACUGACGCUCAUGCACCGAAAGCGUGGGGAGCAAACAGGAUUAGAGUACCC
rnacentral:rRNA from 1 species